CAGCCAGAUACCACUUCCAUGAAAUGAGAGACUUGGCUGUACUGGAAUAGCCGCUACGUGACUCCCCUGAUCACUAUCUCCAAAGCUGAAGUUUCUCUAAAGCAGCGUCCUGGCACGUAUGGCCAGUAAGGGGUUCCAGAGCCAUGCUAUAUUGGAAGAGGAAUACAGACGGUAUAUCCUAUGGACCAUGAUACUAGAAGGGGCAAUAAGAGCGUCAUAACCAGAGGAUGGGAAGAGAGAGGAGGAGAGACAGGUGGUACUUACAGCCCGCAAAGUGAGAAGCAGAC